AAUCCCCCCGGCGCGCUCAUCAGACCAAGGCCCAUGAACGUGGCAGCCUGGACCUGCAGGAGGGUUGCUGUGGGCAUCAGCCCCGGAAGGACGGGAGGUCAGGGCCUGUGCUUACCUCCUUCCAAGCAGACCCAGGACCCCGGAGGUGGAGGCCGAGGCCCUGACUGGAUUUCCAUCUUUGAGGUUUUCCUUUUUUCUCAUUUUGAUUCGCACAUGCUCACAGUGGGGAACGUUUGCAUUCAUCUCGGGCCAGGUGCACACUUAGCCAGUCUUGGGGCUCCUUAUCCCUCUUCCCCUCUCUGUCUGGGAAGCCCUUCCCACCGGUGGGGCUGCCUCCCCACACCGCCUUUCCACCCACACCCCACGGCUCCAUCUGCCCUGGGAGCACCCUCGGGCCCCAGCUCUGACCCUCCCCCCCUCGGCCUCCCACCCGCCCCCCACCAGCCCCUUCCUAACCCUCCGUCUUUCCUUCGCUCUCCCCCACAUCUCAGACACCGCUGGUAACAAUGGCACAGCCUAGAAGAGGCGCUGGAAAGGGAUGAAAGCAUGAAAACGGUUUUCCUGCUCAGGACCGACAGCGCUUGCUUGUGUGGAAGGACACACGGCCACUUCGGAGCUGGAGCCCCCUCCCCUGUCCCUCGGGGUCUGGCGGGGCCCCCUCCCCAGGCUCAGACCCCGGCCUCUGUGCGCGGGAGCUGUGUGGUCUCCUGGGGAGGUCACGUAAGUUGUCUGAACAAGUUUCCUGGUGUAGAAAACGGAAGCAGGGAACCAGGGAACGCACACAUCACCCCGAGCGCAGUGCUCGGCCUCCUCCCGCGGACGGCUGUCCUUGCUGCCGGCCACUCACUCCGCGGAAAGGAAGCCCUGGUGCCCCAGCACGGAGGCUCCGCAGCUGCCCACCCCCACCCCCCCACAGGCUGGGCUCACGUCCCGAAGCAGGGCACCCAUGCCACCUCCCGUGCACCCAGCAGUGCCGGGGCCUGGGAGGGACCUGCUUGGUGCCAACGGUGCCCCACACGUGCCCUGGCACCGCUGCACCCAGACCUCCACCCAGCCCCCUCCCCUCCUGCUUUCCCCUCAGUGGCGACAGCGCCGCUCAUCCAGGCCUGGGCAGAAGCCCAAGUUGCCCCGGGCAUGCAGCACUGCGGAGCCCUGACGGUGCCCAUCCCGGGCUACCUCCAGCGUCGCCACCCCCACCUCCCGGCUCCCAGCCCCGNNNNNNNNNNNNNNNNNNNNNNNNNNCGUCCAGCCCCCCCACUCGCCCUGACUGGGGCUGUGCGGCCAGCCUCCCCCAUGGCCCCCGUGCUGUCCCUUCUCCACUCAGAGCCACAUUGUCCUGGCCACCGAUGCCAGCGGCUUUCCCUGCUCCAGCCUGUGGAAGGGUCGGAGUUCUGUGACCCAGAGGAAAUGCCAGCCCCUCGGUCCUCGGUGGCGGUGUUCCCUCCCCUCCCGGCCCCGUGCCAAAGCCCCCAGACCCCCCGGAUGCCGGUGCGCCUGGGCUGCGGUGAAGCUACCUCGUGGACUCUUGAGUCCCGGAGACAACACACAGCCGCUCCCCGCUGCCCUCUCCUCACCAAGAGCUGCCUGGGCAUCCAGGCCAUGGUGCAGGACCCACUUCCUCCUUGACCUCCUUCGCCACUUCCAAAGCCAGCUGGUCCAGCUCCAGAAGAUUCCCUGGAAGAGAGAUAAAAUGAGGGUCCCCACACACCUAGAGAAGCGCGGCCCAGCACGGAAUCCAGACUCAGCUGUGGAUCUCCUUAAAUUCUCCUUCCCGAGAGGCAGCGGGCAGAGGCCGGGAUGGCGCCUCCGCCUGGGGCCGCCGCCCCUUCCCUCCCCGGGGCGAGAAGCCGCUUCUCCCCGGCCCCCGUCCUGCCUCGCUGUCUCCUCAAGACGAAGGCGCCCCCGGUCCAUCGCACCCUUGCACACAAGAACUUCCCUAUCCAGAGGGACGAAAGGCCUGGGCGUUCUAGGGGUUCUGCAGAAUCCGGGGACCUACGAGUCCUCCCGGCCGCCCUCGAGGAGGUGGCGGGAGGUCGGGCUCUGCUGAGCCGCAUCUUGAUGCUCGCAGGCUGCUGUGUUCCAGACUCUGGUGCCGGAUCUCCUCUGGCCGCAGCAGCACAUCGUCACGUCCUCCAGGGGCUCCUCCAGGGCUCACUUCCGGGGAGCUAUGGGAGGCUUUCAGAGGGGCGCUCCCCGGCGGGUCCUCUCCUUCCCAUCUGCCAUCCCGCAGAGCUCUCCUGGGCUGGGUAGGGCAGCACUACCCACUGUGCCGGCCCAGUCUGCAGCUCCACCUCCAGCGCCUGCCCUGGGCCAGCUGCCUGCCGUUCUGCUCCCUCUCUUGGCCCUGUUGGUCGCCUCCUGCUCGAUCUGGGUCGUCUGCAAACCCAAAGGCUCAGGGAGCACCAGGCAGGGCUUCGCCUCCCCCACAGUGAUCUUCCCUCCCAAGGACAAGGCAGAGCCAAAGCCGAGGACCAGCCCUGCCGAGCUCCAGCGCGCCCGGAGGUCCAGCUCUCUCGACCCGCCAGCCCUUCUCAGCAGGGCUCCAACAGCCUGCACACCGCAUGCCCGAGUUACCAUUUAAAGCUUCCUUUCCAGCACCUCACACACACUCACACACACAGACCGUGCCUGCACGUGCAAGGCUCUAUGCCACCCUCUGAGGACACAUGGGGGAGACGCAAGCGAGGACCCGAGGGCAGAACGGGAGACACACUCUGUCCCUCUGCGUUACGGCCUUGUGCGCUGUGAGCUCCCCGAGAGACGCAGCCUUGUUUGAUUCAUGCCUGGGAGGCCCGCACUGCCCCUAAAACUGGCCCUGAGAAGCUCCUCUAAAACUGAACGCAGGAACGGAUGCAGGAGUAAUGGAGAGAGGUGCAUCAGCUGCUCCGAGUGGUGCAGGGUGGGAGAAGGGAGGCAUGGGGUGCAGGGACCCAUCAGAUGGAGGGUACAGGGUGGAGCGGCGGCCGCCCUGCUCGCCUGGGACUCCUACCGCUCCUCGCUGUCCUGCCGGUCCCUGGAGAUGAGCCCCUCCUAGGCUGGCACCUGGCACUGAGGAGCUGGGUGAUCUCUGCUGGGAUCCACAGUGAUCUCCACGCUGACUGACAGAAAGGGAGCUGUUGUGACCAGCGAGCGCCACGGACAGCGCUGCAGAGUGCUGGGGGUGGGGGACAGGCCAGACUCGCUUAACCCUCAGGUCAUUGAGUGUCUGUCAUCUGAGUGUUGUCAGCAUCCAGCAGAGCUUUGCUCUUCCCCAGGUUGAGGUGCACAGUCUGACAAGAAACUGUCCUCCCCUCCUCGGAUCCGCCGUGGGGAGGGACAAAGGCAGGCAAAGCCAAAGGCAGGGAAAAUCCCACCCAGAAAGAUGUCCAAAGGCAGGAGGAAUUUCCAUGGGCACAUGGCCCAGCCCCUCCCAGCCUUCAGCAAAUAUGCUCAAGUGUG
rnacentral:lncRNA from 1 species